CACCCGCCGCGGUAAUACCGGCGGCCCGAGUGGCGGUCACUAUUAUUGGGCUUAAAGCGUCCGUAGCCGGGUUGGGAAGUCCUCCGGGAAAUCUGGCCGCUUAACGGUCAGAAUGCCGGAGGAUACUCCCAGCCUAGGGAGCGGGGGAGGCCGAGGGGAUUCCCGGGGUAGGGGUGAAAUCCUAUAAUCCCGGGAGGACCACCUGUGGCGAAGGCGCUCGGCUGGAACGCGUCCGACGGUGAGGGACGAAGGCCAGGGGAGCAAACCGGAUUAGAUACCCGGGUAGUCCUGGCUGUAAACGAUGCGGACUUUGUGUCGGACAAGCUAUGAGCUUGUCCGGUGCCGGAGGGAAACCGUUAAGUCCGCCGCCUGGGGAGUACGGCCGCAAGGCUGAAACUUAAAGGAAUUGGCGGG
rnacentral:rRNA from 1 species